UUAUCUGUUUAUUUCCCGAGAAAGGCCAGAGCCCUGCUACAGCCUAGGUAGUGCUGGGGACCCAUGGAUCAUCUGAGCCCUGCUACAGCCUAGGUAGUGCUGGGGACCCAUGAAGCAUCUGAGGACUGCUACAGCCUAGGUAGUGCUGGGGACCCAUGAAGCCUCUGAGCCCUGCUACAGCCUAGGUAGUGCUGGGGACCCAUGAAGCAUCUGAGCCCUGCUACAGCCUAGGUAGUGCUGGGGACCCAUGAAGCAUCUGAGCCCUGCUACAGCCUAGGUAGUGCUGGGGACCCAUGAAGCAUCUGAGGAGUACUACAGCCUAGGUAGUGCUGGGGACCCAUGAAGCAUCUGAGGAGUACUACAGCCUAGGUAGUGCUGGGGACCCCUGGAGCAUCUGAGGAGUACUAUAGCCUAGGUAGUUCUGGGGACCCAUGGAGCAUCUGAGCCCUGCUACAGCCUAGGUAGUGCUGGGGACCCAUGAAGCAUCUGAGGAGUACUACAGCCUAGGUAGUGCUGGGGACCCAUGGAGCAUCUGAGCCCUGCUACAGCCUAGGUAGUGCUGGGGACCCAUGAAGCAUCUGAGGAGUACUACAGCCUAGGUAGUGCUGGGGACCCAUGAAGCAUCUGAGGAGUACUACAGCCUAGGUAGUGCUGGGGACCCAUGGAGCAUCUGAGGACUCCUACAGCCUAGGUAGUGCUGGGGACCCAUGGAGCAUCUGAGGACUCCUACAGCCUAGGUAGUGCUGGGGAUCUAUGAAGCAUCUGAGGAGUACUACAGCCUAGGUAGUGCUGGGGACCCAUGGAGCAUCUGAGGAGUACUACAGCCUAGGUAGUGCUGGGGACCCAUGGAGCAUCUGAGGACUCCUACAGCCUAGGUAGUGCUGGGGAUCUAUGAAGCAUCUGAGGAGUACCCUCUGUAGCAGCAUCUCCCUGGGCCAUGGUCCAAGGUGCACACAGUGUAAUCAUCAGUUCCCACCUUGCAAGAAAACCACAAGGCACUCUGACACUCGCCUCACCCUGUCCCAUACCUGUCCCCUCACUGCCCGUCUCAAAAGGAGGGGUGUUCCCAUCCCUUCAUGAUCAAUCUAGAUCAAAGGUCAGGAGAGUGUGUGAGGGUUGAGAAGCUGAUGCCAUGACCUCCAGGGACCGCAGCCCUACCACCUCCACCUCUGAGAAGGAGGUGCCUAUGGCUUCAGCUCCCUCAGUGAACUUGCCUUCAGCAGACCACCUCCUUAGACGUUCAUGGGUAAGAAGAGAAGAUUGAAAAGGGAAACUGGGGGUCGGGUGGUGGCGCAGCGGGUUAAGUGCACGUGGCGCAAAGCACAAGGACUGGUGUAAGGAUCCCCGUUCAAGCCCCCGGCUCCCCACCUGCAGGGGAGUCGCUUCACAGGCGGUGAAGCAGGUCUGCAGGUGUCUGUCUUUCUCUCCCCCUCUCUGUCUUCCCCUCCUCUCUCCAUUUCUCUCUGUCCUAUCCAACAACGAACGACAUCAACAAUAACAAUACUAACCACAACAAGACUACAAGGGCAACAAAAGGGGGAAAGGAGCAGUGGAUUCGUGAUGCAGGCACUGAGCCCUAGCAAUAACCCUGGAGGCAAAAAAUAAAUAAAAUAAAAUAAAUAAAAAUAAAAAAUAAAUUUUUUAAAAAAAGGAAAAUAACCUGAGGGGAGGGAGCCUGUUAGUGACAAGUGAGGGCAUGCCCACCUGGGAUCUAAUAGGGACAGAAAGACUCACCCAGGUAUCUGGAGAGCUCAGAAUAGAGCACGGUAGCACUAGGGACUCCUUUAGGAGCCACCUUCUGCUGCCUGUCUACCCAGGAAGUCAAGACCUUAGCAGGAAUUAUUUCACAUUCCCCAGGCUUGGGAGUCAGAGUGCAAGCAGGGAGGUCCACCCUUGGUGGAUGAGCAGCCAGGGCUCCUGCCACGCUGCUGCAGCUUUGGUCCCUGCUGUCCUGUCCCCUGUGGGACUGACAAACGAGCUUCCUCUGUUUCCAGAUAUGCAGUCACAACUUGUCCUUUUUAUUUUUAACCCUUUUAUUUAUAGUGUUGCCCAUGGCUUUUUUUUUUCUUUCUUUCUUCCUGCAGUAAAAAUCUCGGCUUGACUAUUUUUGUACUAAGAUAUCUGUUAUCACCACUGCCAUCCUUCAGGUCCCUGAACUCAAACUCUGGGAGUUUUCUAUUCUCACACCCCUUCUCUGUCUCUGCAGGGGCUCAAAUAUGCCCCU